UAUGGACGGGAAUAACCUUGGGAAACUGAGAAUAAUGCCCGACAGAACAUUAUACCUGGAACGGUUUAUGUUUCAAAUGAUUUAUCGCCGUAGGAUGGGACUGCGGCCUAUCAGUUUGUUGGUGAGGUAGUGGCCCACCAAGACUAUUACAGGUACGGGCUCUGAGAGGAGUAGCCCGGAGAUGGGUACUGAGACACGGACCCAGGCCCUAUGGGGCGCAGCAGGCGAGAAAACUUUGCAGUGUGCGAAAGCACGACAAGGUUAAUCCGAGUGGUUUCUGCUAAAGAAACCUUUUGCUAGUCCUAGAAACACUAGUGAAUAAGGGGUGGGCAAGUUCUGGUGUCAGCCGCCGCGGUAAAACCAGCACCUCAAGUGGUCAGGAUGAUUAUUGGGCCUAAAGCAUCCGUAGCUCGUUUUGUAAGUUUUCGGUUAAAUCCAUACGCUCAACGUAUGGGCUGCCGGGAAUACUGCAUAACUAGGAAGUGGGAGAGGUAGACGGUACUCGGUAGGAAGGGGUAAAAUCCUUUGAUCUAUUGAUGACCACCUGUGGCGAAGGCGGUCUACCAGAACACGUUCGACGGUGAGGGGUGAAAGCUGGGGGAGCAAACCGGAUUAGAUACCCGGGUAGUCCCAGCUGUAAACUAUGCAAACUCAGUGAUGCAUUGGCUUGUGGCCAAUGCAGUGCUGCAGGGAAGCCGUUAAGUUUGCCGCCUGGGAAGUACGUACGCAAGUAUGAAACUUAAAGGAAUUGGCGGGGGAGCACCACAAGGGGUGAAGCCUGCGGUUC
rnacentral:rRNA from 1 species